UACGUAGGGUGCGAGCGUUAAUCGGAAUUACUGGGCGUAAAGCGUGCGCAGGCGGUUCGUUGUGUCGGCGGUGAAAGCCCCGGGCUUAACCUGGGAAUGGCCGUUGAAACUGGCGAACUGGAGUGUGGCAGAGGGGGGUGGAAUUCCGCGUGUAGCAGUGAAAUGCGUAGAGAUGCGGAGGAACACCGAUGGCGAAGGCAGCCCCCUGGGCUGACACUGACGCUCAGGCACGAAAUCGUGGGGAGCAAACAGG
rnacentral:rRNA from 1 species